rnacentral:rRNA from 1 species
GAUGAACGCUGGCGGCGUGCCUAAUACAUGCAAGUCGAGCGAACAGACGAGAGUGCUUGCACUCUCUGACGUUAGCGGCGGACGGGUGAGUAACACGUGGGUAACCUACCUAUAAGACUGGGAUAACUUCGGGAAACCGGAGCUAAUACCGGAUAAUAUUUAGCUUCGCAUGAAGCAAUAGUGAAAGACGGUUCUGCUGUCACUUGUAGAUGGACCCGCGGUGUAUUAGCUAGUUGGUGAGGUAACGGCUCACCAAGGCAACGAUACAUAGCCGACCUGAGAGGGUGAUCGGCCACACUGGGACUGAGACACGGCCCAGACUCCUACGGGAGGCAGCAGUAGGGAAUCUUCCGCAAUGGACGAAAGUCUGACGGAGCAAUGCCGCGUGAGUGAAGAAGGUUUUCGGAUCGUAAAACUCUGUUGUAAGGGAAGAACAAGUACGUUAGUAACUGAACGUACCUUGACGGUACCUUACCAGAAAGCCACGGCUAACUACGUG